UCAUAACCAUUGUCCACCAAAGAGCAGCACUGAGCAGAAAUAACACUGCUCCUGUUCAUUCUCCAUCAGUGAGGGGCCGGUGCUGGACACUGUGUAGGGACGCGGGAAUGCAAAGUCAUACACAUGACUGUGACUGAUGCACUAUCUCCAGGACAUGGAGUAGCAUUUCCGGACCUACAGCAAGACGUUGGAUGAAGGCAUAGCCCCAGAAAUAACACUGGUCCUGUUCAUCAGUGAGGGGCCGGUGCUGGACACUGUGUAGGGACACGGGAAUGCAAAGUCAUGCACAUGACUGUGACUGAUGCACUAUUUCCAGGACAUGGAGUAGCAUUUCGGGACCUACAGCAAGACGUUGGAUGAAGGCACAGGCCUAGGAAUCAUGCACAUACACAGAAACAUUUGCCCAAAUUCUAGAGGUAACCUCCUUUAGUAUGCCCAGAGGAAGGGCCAUACAGUAGCCAUGGAUUCCCUACAGGUUUCCUCCCCUCUGGAGGUUUUUCCUGUCCUGAGUAUUAGUUACUGUACGCUCUUUGUGAGUGAUGGGAGGUUACAAAAAAUCCCCUACACAAACAUUUUAAUAAAUAAUAAAUAAAGUUCCCCUUUUUUAAAACUG